rnacentral:rRNA from 1 species
AGGGGGCCGCCAAAAAAUGCAAGUCGAGCGGUAGAGAGAAGCUUGCUUCUCUUGAGAGCGGCGGACGGGUGAGUAAUGCCUAGGAAUCUGCCUGGUAGUGGGGGAUAACGUUCGGAAACGGACGCUAAUACCGCAUACGUCCUACGGGAGAAAGCAGGGGACCUUCGGGCCUUGCGCUAUCAGAUGAGCCUAGGUCGGAUUAGCUAGUUGGUGGGGUAAUGGCUCACCAAGGCGACGAUCCGUAACUGGUCUGAGAGGAUGAUCAGUCACACUGGAACUGAGACACGGUCCAGACUCCUACGGGAGGCAGCAGUGGGGAAUAUUGGACAAUGGGCGAAAGCCUGAUCCAGCCAUGCCGCGUGUGUGAAGAAGGUCUUCGGAUUGUAAAGCACUUUAAGUUGGGAGGAAGGGUUGUAGAUUAAUACUCUGCAAUUUUGACGUUACCGACAGAAUAAGCACCGGCUAACUCUGUGCCAGCAGCCGCGGUAAUACAGAGGGUGCAAGCGUUAAUCGGAAUUACUGGGCGUAAAGCGCGCGUAGGUGGUUAGUUAAGUUGGAUGUGAAAUCCCCGGGCUCAACCUGGGAACUGCAUUCAAAACUGACUGACUAGAGUAUGGUAGAGGGUGGUGGAAUUUCCUGUGUAGCGGUGAAAUGCGUAGAUAUAGGAAGGAACACCAGUGGCGAAGGCGACCACCUGGACUGAUACUGACACUGAGGUGCGAAAGCGUGGGGAGCAAACAGGAUUAGAUACCCUGGUAGUCCACGCCGUAAACGAUGUCAACUAGCCGUUGGGAGCCUUGAGCUCUUAGUGGCGCAGCUAACGCAUUAAGUUGACCGCCUGGGGAGUACGGCCGCAAGGGUUAAAACUCAAAUGAAUUGACGGGGGCCCGCACAAGCGGUGGAGCAUGUGGUUUAAUUUCGAAGCAACGCGAAGAACCCUUACCAGGCCCUUGACAUCCAAUGACUUUUCUAGAGAUAGAUUUGUGCCUUUCGGGAACAUUGAGACAGGUGCUGCAUGGCUGUCGUCAGCUCGUGUCGUGAGAUGGUGGAUAGUCCGUACGAGCGCACCCUGGUCUAGUUACAGCACGUUAUGUGUCACUCUAAGCAGACUGCGAUUACAAACCGGGAAGAAAGUG